GGCUGGGAAGUGGUUGAUGCCCUGCUUCCAGGAAAAUCUUCUAAGCUUCAGGUUACGAGGAACCGUACCCUAAACCGACACAGGUGGUUGGGAUGAGUAUUCUAAGGCGCUUGAGAGAACUCGGGUGAAGGAACUAGGCAAAAUGGUACCGUAACUUCGGGAGAAGGUACGCCACUUGGUGUGAAGGGCUUGCCCCGUAAGCAUCGAGUGGCCGCAGUGAAAAGGCCCCUGCAACUGUUUAUUAAAAACACAGCACUCUGCAAACGCGUAAGCGGACGUAUAGGGUGUGACGCCUGCCCGGUGCCGGAAGGUUAAUUGAUGGGGUUAGUCUUCGGACGAAGCUCUUGAUCGAAGCCCCGGUAAACGGCGGCCGUAACUAUAACGGUCCUAAGGUAGCGAAAUUCCUUGUCGGGUAAGUUCCGACCUGCACGAAUGGCGUAAUGAUGGGGGCACUGUCUCCACCCGAGACUCAGUGAAAUCGAAAUCGCAGUGAAGAUGCUGUGUACCCGCGGCUAGACGGAAAGACCCCGUGAACCUUUACUACAGCUUCACAGUGGACUUUGAGCCUGCUUGUGUAGGAUAGCUGGGAGACAUUGAAGCGGUGACGCCAGUCAUCGUGGAGUCAACCUUGAAAUACCAGCCUGGCAUGUUUGAGGUUCUAACCCAGGCCCGUGAUCCGGGUCGGGGACAUUGUGUGGUGGGUAGUUUGACUGGGGCGGUCUCCUCCCAAAGAGUAACGGAGGAGCACAAAGGUACCCUCAGCACGGUCGGACAUCGUGCAAUGAGCGUAAAGGUAGAAGGGUGCUUGACUGCGAGACCUACAAGUCGAGCAGGUGCGAAAGCAGGUCUUAGUGAUCCGGUGGUUCUGUAUGGAAGGGCCAUCGCUCAACGGAUAAAAGGUACUCCGGGGAUAACAGGCUGAUACCGCCCAAGAGUUCACAUCGACGGCGGUGUUUGGCACCUCGAUGUCGGCUCAUCUCAUCCUGGGGCUGAAGCCGGUCCCAAGGGUAUGGCUGUUCGCCAUUUAAAGAGGUACGCGAGCUGGGUUUAGAACGUCGUGAGACAGUUCGGUCCCUAUCUGCCGUGGGCGUUGGAGAUUUGAGAGGAGCUGCUCCUAGUACGAGAGGACCGGAGUGGACGAACCUCUGGUGUUCCGGUUGUCACGCCAGUGGCAUUGCCGGGUAGCUACGUUCGGACGGGAUAACCGCUGAAAGCAUCUAAGCGGGAAGCCUCCCUCAAGAUGAGAUCUCCCUGACCCCUUGAGGGUCCUGAAGGGCCGUGGAAGACCACCACGUUGAUAGGCGGGAUGUGGACGCGCUGUGAGGCGUGAAGCUAACCCGUACUAAUUGCCCGUGCGGCUUGACCAU
rnacentral:rRNA from 1 species